AUGGACUGAUAUCAGGCAAGACUACCCGCUGAACUUAA
rnacentral:rRNA from 1 species